rnacentral:lncRNA from 1 species
CAGCAAAGCAGAAACGGAGGAUGCUGGGAAAAGACAGGGGAGGGAAAGCUGCUUUGGGUCUUCAGAGAAGAGAACAUGGUUCUUGUCUUGGCCUCAUGAAGACAGCAGGGUGUAUUACGUGGUAAGUUCAGGGCCAAGCACUUUGCACACAUUGUCUCAUUUAAUUCUUACAGCAGUCCUAAGAAGUUAUUACUCUUCCCAUUAUACAGACGAGGAAACUGAGACCCAAAGGAGUCAUUUAGUUGGUUGUCAACACACCAGGCUGAGAAGUGGCUUGAGAAAGUUCCUCACUUCCCAGGCAGGUUUGCUGGUUGCCGUGCAAGUAACACCAUCCGGGGUGUUUGCUUCAUUCAGCUCCCUGGAGGAUACCUGGAAUGGAGCUUGCAAUAGCUUUACCUGCCUGCCUGCCUGUCCUGUGGCUCUGCCCAGCUUCCAUCUUUCCAAGAGGAGAAGAAUAGUUGUGAGGGCUUCUUCACACCCCACAGGCUGGGACAACAAGCCAAGCCCUCCUUCUCUCUCUCUCUUCCCAAGUGUCAGAGCAUCCUCAGGCAAGAGCCCCUCAUUUCCUAGCAAAAUCCUACACUUUGGGGAGCACUUAUUCUCUUGAAGAUAAUCUACCAUUAAAGGUCUUGAAUGUUUAAAG